GUAUACAGAUCUAAAUGUUGUUAGCCAAUCACAGACUGUGUUGUUACCAGUUCCACAUCAGACAACCAAUAAAAGUUGUGUCCACGGCUUUCAGAGGAGUUCAUAGGUGCUAUUCGGAAUCCUUGGGAUGUCCCUUCAAUCGAAUAGAGCAGUUCAUAGACUUCCCCAGAGGUUCGUGCUAUUCGGGAUGUCCAUACCUCUAUCAAGUAUAAAUGUACAUUGGUUAAGUUUAGUGUUAACUUAGGGUUCAGGGUAAGGACGUCCCAAGGAAUCCGGAUUGCGGUGACCGUUCAUAGAGUGAGAGACUGGCACAGUAUUUGAGAGCUCGGCGGCGACACAGACUUAUUUUUUAUAAACUGCAGAAGCGAUUUGAGUGUCUGCCUCAGAUAGUUUCAUUAGAGACGAUGAAAAUAAUUACCCAGAUGUACUUGAUCCAAUUGAGGAUCAAGAUGUGAUGAGCCAGAUCAACCACUCAGCUUCAAUGCAGCUGUUCAACCCACCACCCUCCCACUGCUCUUCCUCCACAAGUAACCACAUCCUCUUCUCCUGUUCAACUACUGUGCCACCACACUAAAAAUGACUGUACAUAUACCCCUGUGCCCAUCUCAGUGUAACAUGAUCCAUCCAAGGCCUCAGCUGGAUGCCUGGAAUGUAAGCAAGAUGCUAUAGUGUGUGUGUGAUGUAUGUAUGUAUGUAUGUAUGUAUGUAUGUAUGGAGUUCCAAGUAAAGACUUGAGAAGAUGGCAAAGGAAAUAGUGAUGAGAGUGAGAGCAUACAGUAUGGAAAUAAAGACCCCUUGAGAUCUAAAAUGAG